GACGAACCGAGCGAACGUUGUUCGGAAUCACUGGGCUUAAAGGGCGCGUAGGCGGGUGCUCAAGUCCGGGGUGAAAUCCUCCAGCUCAACUGGAGAACUGCCUCGGAUACUGGGUGCCUCGAGGGUGGCAGGGGUAUGUGGAACUAUCGGUGGAGCGGUGAAAUGCGUUGAUAUCGAUAGGAACUCCGGUGGCGAAGGCGGCAUACUGGUCCACUUCUGACGCUGAGGCGCGAAAGCCAGGGGAGCAAACGGG
rnacentral:rRNA from 1 species